rnacentral:rRNA from 1 species
UACGGAGGGUGCGAGCGUUGUCCGGAAUCACUGGGCGUAAAGGGCGCGUAGGCGGCCUGAUAAGUAGGGGGUGAAAUCCUGCGGCUUAACCGCAGGGCUGCCUUCUAAACUGUCGGGCUCGAGCACAGUAGAGGCAGGUGGAAUUCCCGGUGUAGCGGUGGAAUGCGUAGAGAUCGGGAAGAACAUCAGUGGCGAAGGCGGCCUGCUGGGCUGUUGCUGACGCUGAGGCGCGAAAGCUAGGGUAGCAAACGGG